CAUAUAUAUCACGUGAUUAGUUGUCUAUAUCAAUCCUUCAUCUCGGGCAAAGCAAGCAGACUUUCAGUGAAACAUGACGUCGGUUACUUUUCUCUUUAUGGCAUGCGCAGUGCUAGCAUGCAUACCGGUAGUGACGUCAAACGAACCUGAUGCUGCUCCUGUGCUUCCUGUCAUCGAUCUGAGGCAUCCGCUUGUCUCACCGGACUCUGCCUGCCUCUUCAUCUGUGAAAUGUGUUUCAGGAACGAUUUAGACAUGUUGAUGUAUUGCGUCAACAGCAUCUGCAGCCCCGACCGCUGCAACGUCGUCGACCUGGUUUUGAUUGGGAGGACGUGCAACGACACAGCGUUACUGGAUCAGUACGUCUUCCCGAAAAAGACGAAUACGUAUUCCCCGCCGGAUACGAAUACCCAGCAGGAGACCAACCAGUAGACGGGCAGCUCUGUUCAUCACACUUCGAAAUAAACUAACGUCGAUGUGAUA